CCCGGGAGGGGAGUGAAAAAGAACCUGAAACCCUAUGCUUACAAGCACCGAGAGCACGUCAAAGUGUGAUCGGGUACUUUUUGUAGAACGGUCCGGCGAGCGUAUGUACGUAGCAAGGUUAAGUUCUUCAGGAACGGAGCCGAAGCGAGAGCAAGUCUGAAUAGGGCGUCAAGUUACGUGCAUAGGGCCCGAAACCGGGUGACCUAUCCAUGUCCAGGCUGAAGUUGGGGUAAGACCCAAUGGAGGGCCGAACCGACCUCCGUUGAAAAGGCGGCGGAUGAGGUGUGGAUAGCGGAGAAAUUCCAAUCGAACCCGGAGAUAGCUGGUUCUCCCCGAAAUAGCUUUAGGGCUAGCGUUGUAUAUCAUUACCGGAGGUAAAGCACUGAAUGGCCUAGGGCCCUAACGGGUACCGAAGCCUAUCAAACUAAGAAUGCCGGAUAAUGUGAGUACAGCAGUCAGACUAUGGGAGAUAAGUUUCAUGGUCAAAAGGGAAACAGCCCAGACCCACAGCUAAGGUCCCAAAUAUGAUUUAAGUGGAAAACGAUGUGGAGUUGCGAAAACAACCAGGAUGUUGGCUUAGAAGCAGCCACUCAUUCAAAGAGUGCGUAAUAGCUCACUGGUCGAGUGACUCUGCGCGGAAAAUUCAACGGGGCUAAAAUCAUAACCGAAGCUUGGGAUGCAUUAAAUGCAUGGUAGGGGAGCGUUGUGUAAGGGGUGAAGUCACAGCGGAAGCGGUGGUGGACAUUACACAAGUGAGAAUGCCGGAAUGAGUAGCGCGAAUUAUGUGAGAAUCAUAAUGGCCGAAAGUCUAAGGUUUUUGGAGGAAGGUUCGUCCGCUCCAAGUUAGUCGGGAGCUAAGGUGAGGCCGAAAGGCGUAGCCGAUGCACAUACGGUAGAAAUUCCGUAACCGUCGAAGUAUUUAAGCAAAGGGACACUUUGGGAAGGUACAAGCCAGGCGUUGGUAGCCCUGGCCGUAAGGGACUGAAAAUUAGUAGGGAAGUGUACUGGAACAGAGGCGAGAAAAGCUUUGUGUAUAUACAAGACGCCCGUACCGCAAACCGACACAGGUAGAUGGGAAGAGAAUUCUAAGGCCAACGGGAGAAGGGUUGUUAAGGAACUCGGCAAGUUGACCCCGUAACUUCGGAAGAAGGGGUGCUCUGGAAACAGAGCCGCAGAGAAUAGGUCCAGGCGACUGUUUAGCAAAAACACAGCUCUAUGCUAAAUCGAAAGAUGAUGUAUAUGGGGUGACACCUGCCCGGUGCUGGAAGGUUAAGAGGAGAUGUGCAAGCAUUGAAUCGAAGCCCCAGUAAACGGCGGCCGUAACUAUAACGGUCCUAAGGUAGCGAAAUUCCUUGUCAGGUA
rnacentral:rRNA from 1 species